rnacentral:tRNA from 1 species
AUAAAGUACGUAGUGUUNUGAUCACUAAAGAAGUUUUAAACUAUUUGACUUAAACUUAAAUGC